UGUAGAAGAUCAUGAUUCACACAUUCCACCAAUCCCAGUCUAGCUCUUUUCUCUUCCAAGGAUCUGGCAGUGAAUGGCAUGAUGGGAAAUUUCUGACUAAUUUCACUGAAAAUAAAUCUAGAAGCCUUCAUCUUCAAGUGAUAAUUCUUAUCAACAGCUCUCUUGUAAAUGGUAGUAUGCUUUUCAUCCAGCAGCUUAGGCUUGCCUUCACC
rnacentral:misc_RNA from 1 species